rnacentral:rRNA from 1 species
GUGACCAAGCGAUAGGAAACCACCCGUUCCCAUCCCGAACACGGUCGUAAAGACUAUUAGCGGUGAAACUACUUGGCGGGAGACCGCCUGGGAAGAUAACUAGUUGCC